CGAGAAGAUGUUUAAAAACUCAUGGCAAGCAUGGAUCUAAGGUUGAUCUGUGAGAAGUUGAAACGGUCUUAAAGAUUAGGGUUUUAGAAGAACCCAAAAGCCUUGAAAGUUAACGAUAUAACCAGGGAAAUCAAAGGUCUAACUCGAAUGGUCAUGCUGGCCGGAGAAAGGCCAAGGAUGACCGGAGAAGGUGUCAUAGAGCAAAGACUGAACCAAAUCCCUUCAAAAUCUGGUUAUGAGACCACAGAACCAAAGGCAUAGAAGACCUGGAAGGCUGGUAUAGGUCUCUGAUGACCUUAUAAGGCCAUGAAUUAGGAUGGAUUAGGGUGGCGGUGGCUAGGGUUUGAGGGAGUUUCAAAGAGUAUUUGAGUGAGAAGAAAAGUCA
rnacentral:lncRNA from 1 species